rnacentral:misc_RNA from 1 species
AACGCACAUUGCGCCCAUUGGCAUUCCGAUGGGCAUGCCUGUUCGAGCGUCAUUAUCCUCCCUCAAACCUCGCGUUUGGUGCUGGACCGCGUUGGCUCCUCGGGGGUCAACUGGUCUCAAAGACAAUGACGGCGUCCGUGGGACCCUCGGUGCAACGAGCUUUUCGAAGCACGCGUCGAGUCGAAAGGACCCUCCGGGCCGGUCUGACCGUGAAAUCACUUUUUUUCAGGUUGACCUCGAAUCAGGUAGGAAUACCCGCUGAACUUAA